rnacentral:rRNA from 1 species
UACGUAGGGAGCAAGCGUUGUCCGGAAUCAUUGGGCGUAAAGCGCGCGUAGGCGGCCCCGUAAGUCCGCUGUGAAAGUCAAAGGCUCAACCUUUGAAAGCCGGUGGAUACUGUGGGGCUAGAGUCCGGAAGAGGCGAGUGGAAUUCCUGGUGUAGCGGUGGAAUGCGCAGAUAUCAGGAGGAACACCAAUAGCGAAGGCAGCUCGCUGGGACGGUACUGACGCUAAGGCGCGAAAGUGUGGGGAGCGAACAGG